rnacentral:lncRNA from 1 species
GGAGCUCAAAGCAGACAAUAUCGUGCUACGGCGGAGUCAAUCCCAAGAUGUGACAAUUUGGUAUCAAAGCCACUCUGCCAUAUGGUGCGAGUGUGCCGGCGAGAAUGUCGAGCUCUUAAAAAAUCCCACAUCGACCAACAGAGAGGGAACGAUGUGCCUUAUAUAUACAUGCCCACGUUCAUUUAGCACUAGGCAUUUUGGGAGCUCACUAUCUUCGGAGUCAUGAGAACUCCAAAGUAAAACGAGUUGGGGCUAGAGCAAUCCCAAGAUAGGUGAUCUACUGGGAAGUUGCUCAUGAGUUCCUAGAAACAAAACCGUGAGGGCAUAGAAGGGAGCCCAAACAGAUAAUAUAGUGCUACGGUAGAGCCGAUCCCGGGAUGUGACAAAAACGGUGAGCAUUUGCGUCAUUUCAUUGUGC